rnacentral:lncRNA from 1 species
AUGAUGAACCUCACCUUUUGUAAAUGCGUACACUCUAAGAAUAAUAGGAAAUCAGCAGGGCAGGAAGCUGUCAUCAGUGUAAUAAUGCCAUGGUCUGAAGCAGGUUGUCAAAGCUGGCAGAAAUUUGCCUACUUUGUUCUUAAAGCUCUCCAGAACAUUAGGAACAUUUUCUAUUUUAUUUUCAGUAUGCAAAGGUACAAUCAUUCAUAUACUCUUAAGUCCACCUACCUGCUUGCCUCUUGUGUUCCAGAGCAGAACUUGAAUCAUGUUGUCUGCUUUACAUCCGUGCAUUACUGUUACCACAAGAUCAGAAGAGAUGCAGAAGCCAUCAGAUCAGGCCAAGGAAUUUGUCAAUCUCUUCUCACCCUGCUUCCUGAAGUUCACUUUGAAAAAGUAUUUCUUCACCAUUCACUUCUACUUGCAAGAGGAUGGAGGAGAAAGUAUAGUGAAUUUCAAGGAAGCGCAUACAAUUGCAGGGAAAUGUCAAUCUGAGAGAUCCAGUGAGAAGGAAGGAGAAUGGUUAGAAGUCCAGAGAACACUUCAGAAUUGGGGAUACAGUUAUGAACUCUGA